rnacentral:rRNA from 1 species
UUUGAUCCUGGCUCAGAUUGAACGCUGGCGGCAUGCCUUACACAUGCAAGUCGAACGGUAACAGGUCUUCGGAUGCUGACGAGUGGCGAACGGGUGAGUAAUACAUCGGAACGUGCCCGAUCGUGGGGGAUAACGCAGCGAAAGCUGUGCUAAUACCGCAUACGAUCUACGGAUGAAAGCAGGGGACCGCAAGGCCUUGCGCGGACGGAGCGGCCGAUGGCAGAUUAGGUAGUUGGUGGGAUAAAAGCUUACCAAGCCGACGAUCUGUAGCUGGUCUGAGAGGACGACCAGCCACACUGGGACUGAGACACGGCCCAGACUCCUACGGGAGGCAGCAGUGGGGAAUUUUGGACAAUGGGGGAAACCCUGAUCCAGCCAUGCCGCGUGCAGGAUGAAGGCCUUCGGGUUGUAAACUGCUUUUGUACGGAACGAAAAGAUCUCUUCUAAUAAAGGGGGUCCAUGACGGUACCGUAAGAAUAAGCACCGGCUAAACUACGUGCC